AGUCCAUGAUAAAGACAACCUCAAUAAUUCUUUAAAUCUAUCCCAGGCAUCACAUAAAGACUCUUCUUUCUUUUGAACAAACUUAGUGAUCUAGUUCCUGAGUUA